UACGGGGGGGGGCAAGCGUUGUUCGGAAUUACUGGGCGUAAAGGGCUCGUAGGUGGCCAACUAAGUCAGACGUGAAAUCCCUCGGCUUAACCGGGGAACUGCGUCUGAUACUGGAUGGCUUGAGAUUGGGAGAGGGAUGCGGAAUUCCAGGUGUAGCGGUGAAAUGCGUAGAUAUCUGGAGGAACACCGGUGGCGAAGGCGGCAUCCUGGACCAACACUGACGCUGAGGAGCGAAAGCGUGGGGAGCGAACAGG
rnacentral:rRNA from 1 species